CGUCAUCUAGGUUUUAAGCUCCACAUGCAUUAGAUAUUUGUCCUAAUGGUCUCCUUCCCCUUGCCCCCCGACCCCCAACAGGCCCUGGUGUGUGAUGCUCCCCUCUCUGUGUCCAUGUGUUCUCAUUGUUUAAAUCCCAAAACCCCCCACAAGUUCUGUAGUCAUAGCAACCCUACAAAACACCAGCAAGAUAUCAGAAUGGCCAUAAGGAGAACUUAGUUUACAUAGAAUCAAACAUACAAACAACAACAAAAGCUGGGGAAAAGUUUUGUAUCAUAUAAAGCCAAGGAAACCGAGGAAAUACUAUUUCUAAGAAUGAUCUUUAAUGGAAAGAAAAUCUCAACACCUUAUUUGAUCUGGAAACAAAACGUGGAAACACAGGAGGGAUGUCAGUGGCUAAACAAUACUGCCAUGUGACAACAGGAUAUCUAUGGAAAUUGAAAUAUAUGUGAGAGGGAAAUAGAAUAGGCUAAAGAGAGGGACAGAGAGAAGGGAUUCUAGCACUGAUCUAAUUCAUAAUCAUAUCUUUAGUUUCUUAAUACAGUACCCUGUAACAGACCAAGCACACAUCAAAUAUAUGUUGAAUAAAUGCAUGAUUAAAAGAUGUUAUGUUUCAAGAGCAUGUCAAUGAUCAAGGAUGACUCUAAAUGAAGACUGGGUAUUGCUAACCAGACAGAUGGCUCACCAGAUGAGUUCCAAUCCCUUCAAAUGCUCCAAUGAUGAUUCUCAAGCACAAAGCCUUUUGAAAUUCUUACAUUUAUAUCAGGACUUGAGAACCAUUGUUUUGAAUGUUCCCAAUUAUAUUAUCUUUUUUCUUUCUAAAAUGGAAAGUUUGAUGUUUUGUAAGAAGCUAAAAAGCCAUUUCAGUGACUCAAAAGGAAAAAACUAGACCAUGUUUUCUUAACUCUAAAGUGAAACUACACAGCAGUGAGUCAUUUCUGCCUCAGAAUGAAAU
rnacentral:lncRNA from 1 species